CCUACGGGCGGCAGCAGUGAGGAAUAUUGGUCAAUGGGCGCGAGCCUGAACCAGCCAAGUAGCGUGAAGGAUGACUGCUCUACGGGUUGUAAACUUCUUUUAUAAAGGAAUAAAGUGAGGAACGUGUGCCUUUUUGUAUGUACUUUAUGAAUAAGGAUCGGCUAACUCCGUGCCAGCAGCCGCGGUAAUACGGAGGAUCCGAGCGUUAUCCGGAUUUAUUGGGUUUAAAGGGAGCGUAGAUGGGUUGUUAAGUCAGUUGUGAAAGUUUGCGGCUCAACCGUAAAAUUGCAAUUGAUACUGGCAGUCUAGAGUACAGUGGAGGUAGGCGGAAUUCGUGGUGUAGCGGUGAAAUGCGUAGAUAUCACGAGGAACUCCGAUUGCGAAGGCAGCUUACUAGACUGCCACUGACGUUGAUGCUCGAAAGUGUGGGUAUCAAACGGGAUUAGAUACCCUAGUAGUC
rnacentral:rRNA from 1 species